AUCUCUAGCGCGGCAAAUAUAGAAACGUAGCUGAGCGGUUUAAACGCAACAUCACCCGCACCCGAAAAGUAGCAAACGCGCGGUUGGAUGAAAACAUGGAGUUAGUUAGCAUAGACGAUGAAAAGUUUAGCUAGGGAAAUUCAGAGUUGAUCUAAGAUGGUCACUUUUGUAUUUGGGCAUGAAUGUUUAAAACAAUAGGACAACUCGCAAGUUGGGAGCUGGAUGCAUCCGUCGCAAAUUACCCCAGCAACCAUGUGCUUAAUCUACACUUCAUACUUGUACAGCGCGCGAAAUAAUUAUGGAGGACAGUAAUUAUUUUUAUUACAUAUUUAAUUAAUUACUCCAUUUGUAAUCGGUAAAAAGGGAAUAUCACUGAAAAAUGAAGCGUUCAUGCUACAGUGCGAAAUAAUUAUAAGUACAAAGGAUACAAGUUCGAUAAAAUAAUAAUAUUUUCGGCUAUUUUGUAUUGAAAUAAACAAAAAUUUCCAAUGUCGUGAAGUAAAUUGUUUAGCAAGCAAAUUGCGAUACAAAUUCAUCGAAAUAAGGGCACUGUUACUACUGAUUACCUCAAAAGUCCUAGUGGUCCACCGAAAAUCGAUUCAAGGACGAAAAGACAAAAAAGAUCAUGCUACCACCAAAAAGGACUUGCUGUCAACAAAAAAA